rnacentral:rRNA from 1 species
CCUACGUGAGGCAGCAGUGGGGAAUAUUGCACAAUGGGGGAAACCCUGAUGCAGCGACGCCGCGUGAGCGAUGAAGUAUCUCGGUAUGUAAAGCUCUAUCAGCAGGGAAGAAAAUGACGGUACCUGACUAAGAAGCCCCGGCUAACUACGUGCCAGCAGCCGCGGUAAUACGUAGGGGGCAAGCGUUAUCCGGAUUUACUGGGUGUAAAGGGAGCGUAGACGGCGGUGCAAGCCAGGUGUGAAAGCCUGGGGCUCAACCCCGGGACUGCAUUGGAAACUGUGCUGCUGGAGUGUCGGAGAGGCAGGCGGAAUUCCUAGUGUAGCGGUGAAAUGCGUAGAUAUUAGGAGGAACACCAGUGGCGAAGGCGGCCUGCUGGACGAUGACUGACGUUGAGGCUCGAAAGCGUGGGGAGCAAACAGGAUUAGAUACCCCUGUAGUC